UCUAAACCAACGUUUAAUACAAACUGACUUGCUAUAAACCUUCCUGAAUGUAAAAACCUGGAAAACUAAGAAACUUCAGACAUGGUUGGUUUGAGACAACAGAACAUUUUUUGAGAAUGUGGAUGUUAGAUAUGAUCUUCAUGUUGCCCUUGGAGGUAUCAUAAAAGAGUGGGGCAUCCAAUAACUAGAAAUUAAAAUAGAUCUCAUCUAUCAGUUGGCUCCUGAACAGGUUUGGUACCACUUGUAUCCAUGUGUAGUGGAGUAAAUUUCUCUUAGUUGCUAUUGAGUAUGGGAGAUUACAAAUGCAAGAUAAUUGCUUGAAUUUUAAAUUGUUGCAGUGCAGCAAGAGGGCUUUGCACAGCUGUGUGCAUAUUUAUAUCUCAAGCUUACAAAGUUAGGCAUAGUGAUUAAUUGUGAUUAAUCAGCCAGUGCCAGAUUAUCUAUGGGCGACCGCCCAGGCCGGCAUCUUGUGGGGUAUGACAAGAUCGACCUCUCACCCCUUUCACCGCCCCAGAUACUCCAAUUAUCUGUGUCUCACUGUAACUUCCAUCCUUCUGUCCAUAGACUAAUGGAUGGAAGACAUAGUGACAUGUUGCCAUCUCAUUGUAUCUGCCAUCCUUAGGUCUACAGAUAGAGACACAGAAGGUGUCUCUGUCUGCAAACAUAAUAUAUGGAUAGAGACAGAGGAAUGUAUCUGUCUAUGGAAAUGUCUCUGUGUACCUGAGUAUUAAAUUAAAACUAAUAUCACUGAACAUUGUUAUUUUUCAGGAAACGGCAUCAAGGGCACAAGCGGAUCCAGCAGCUCCUUUUGGCACCUAGAGUAUUUUUUCAUAGGCAAUUCAUAGGCCUCAACCCAGAAAGCGGAACAAAAGCUGCAAACGGAAAAGUGACAUCAACCAACAGGACGACUUAUGGAAAACACAGCAGUGUGUCUCCUUUCUCCUCCUUCAUGGACUACCAGUGGAACUUUGAAAAAGCAACCCUUUGAUGAUUUCUGGAGACGUUCAGGACUGAGACCAACUCAGAACUCAUCCAUGUUGGUUUUGUUUGGCUGUUCACUAAGUCUUAAACUUGCCCAAAUGUUUACGAUGUACUGUUGGGGCUCCAAUAAAGUUUUGAAAAAUAUGUAACUUCAAUAUUUGACAUUGAUGGAUCCCUUCCUUCCUUCAAAGGCAUUUAGAAUUUUGACUGCAAGCUUUACAUGGAAAAGCUGGUAAAACAUUGUUUUUAUGACUUUGACAUGCAGUUUGCUUGGAAACUUUGACGUUUGGGCCAUUUUGUUUUAGUAAAGAUUAUUUAAUUCAUUGUAUUCAAUGUAAUAUUACCAUGAUUGUAAAUGUAUCAGUUAUGUUUUUAGAUCAAAGUAUUUUUCACUUUGGUUGCAAUGCUUUGACUUCUAUGUAACAAGCAAAUAUUGCUGCUGCAAAAUACUAUAUUUUGUUUUGCUUCAGUUUGUCAGAUUUAAAUUGGCAGUAAAAUAAAGCGAUUUUAAAAUA